CGAUGAUAAAAAAAAUGAACAUGAAAAAAAUAUCCUUCUUCAUAUUUCUCUUUUGAAAAAUAAUAAUUUAGGAUAAUUAAAUAAUAUUAAUUAAUAUAUCAGGAACUCUAAUACGUCCGCACAAGUUUAAUCACUACGUUACAUUUUAGUAGAUUUGAAAAUAAAAAAAUAAAAAAAAUAGGAAUAUUGAUGAAUCUUUUUCUUCUUCUAUGUUCCUCUUUCUUCUAUAUUCUUUCUCUCUCCUCUGUAACUUUUCUCCAUCUUAAUAGUUCUUAUUUGCCCCUCCUCGUCGAUAAAUUUUCUACCACCAAUUACAAACGAAUUGAGUUCACCAACUUCUCCUCCACUUCUUCUUCGACUCUGUCUUUUUUCUUCCAUGUUAAAUUCUGAAAUUGAACAUUGAACAUUUUUUAAUUAAAAAUGAACUUGACAAUAUAUCAAACAUAGUAUGAACAUUAAAUUUCUAAAACUGAACAAUGAGUUUUAAAAAUCGAACACAACCAAGAACAAUAGGUGAUUUUUUUAGAAACUAAAAAAAAUCACCUAUUAUUGAUUUAAACACACUUACUCCAGAAUCGAGUAUUAAAUAUUUUAACAAAAAUUUAAAUUUACAAACACAAAAUUAUUGAACAUAUAUUAGUUUUAAUAAGUUGAAUUGAGUUGAACAUGAUUUUAUAUAAGUUGAACAUGAUUUUAUAUAAGUUGAACAUAAGACUUUAAAAACUGAACAUCACACAAAGGUAUUGAACAUAUAUUAGUUUUAUAAGUUAAAUUUAGUUGAACAUGAUUUUGUAUAAGUUGAACAUAAGACUUGAGAAACCGAACAACACAGAAAAGUAUUGAACAUAUAUUAGUUUAAUAAGUUAAAUUUAGUUAAACGUGAUUUUGUAUAAGUUGAACAUAAGACUUGAGAAACUGAAUAUCACACAAAAGUAUUGUACAUAUCAUAGUUUUAUAAUUUGAACAUACGACUUGAGAAACUGAACAUCACACAAAAAUGUUCUUAUUUAUGAACAUAUCAUAGUUUUAUAAGUUUAAUUUAGUUGAACAUGAUUCUUUAUAAGUUGAACAUGAGACUUGAGAAUUGAACGUCACUAAAAGUGUUCUUAUUUGUGAACAUCAUCUUUUAUAUGUGGAACAUGAUGAAUUAUAAACUGAACAUGACAAUAUUUAGACAACGCCACUUCUGAUCUUUUAGUAAAAAAUAAUGAACAUCUGCUUAUUAUUGUUGCUGCUUGCCUUUUAGUUGAACAUGAUUAUAUAUAAAGUUGAACAUAAGACUUGAGAAACUGAACAUCAUACAACGUGUUGAAGAUAUCAUAGUUUUAUAGGUUAAAUUUAAUUGUACGUAAUUCUUUAUAAGUUGAGCAUGAGACUUGAAAAACUGAACAUCACUCAAAAUUAUUGAACAUAUAUUAGUUAUAAGUUAAAUUUAAUUUUUGAAGAAAUAAGUUAAAUUUAAUUAGUUGAACAUGAUUUUGUAUAAAUUGAGCAUAAGAAUUUGAGAAAUUGAACAUCACACCAAAGUGUUGAAAUAUCAUAGUUUUAUAAGUUAAAUUUACUUGAACACGGUUCUUUAUAAGUUGAACACGAGAGUUGAAAAACUGAACAUCGCACAAAAGUGUCAUGUAAACCGUAGGUGGUUAGGCACUUUUUCACAAAAUCAAACAAUAAUCGCCUAUCCUUAUUCUGAUUGACUAUAUUCUUCCCAUUAGAUAUUAGAACAACUUUUUGAUCCAUGUUUGGCCUGUCUGCACCUAAUCAUCAAAUCAUGGAGAUUAGUAACUCCUAAUUCCUAAACAGUGUAUCUCUAUCUGAAUUAAUAUAUUGCUCAACAAUAUUCUAAUCAUCAAUUUCUUUUAUAUAUUUUACAAAAAAAUUGCUAAAAUUGACAGCACCUUCGGCUAAAAUUAUUCCCUAAUCCUCGAAGCCUUGACCAUGAACUAAAGAAGAAAAAGAAAUUUGGCAUAUGAAACGUAGUCCAGAUCGAGUUGGAAUCGCUGGUAAUAAAAUCAAUUGAUAUUUAUAAUAUUGACAGUAUUAAAGAGAAAAUGUCGCAAGUUUACCAUAUGUUUUGCUUAGAGCGUCGAAAAUUCGGUCCCUACCAACGCUAACACUAGGCAUGGCGGCUUCUGUUCUUUCUCUCUCCUCUUACGUAGAUUGCUGGUUGAGGCCAUGGUGAAGGAGGCGAGAAAUUAGAGGACGAAGAAGCAGUUGAACAAAACGCCGGCGAUGGAGGUAAUCGCUGGGAGAAAUCGCCGAGAAAAUCGAUUGUUGUUGGUGAUAUUGUGAUGGAGGUGGUGGUGGCGACGCCGAUGAGUUGUUGGUGAUAUUACGAUGGAGGUGGUGGUGGUGUCGCCGGUGAUUCGCCAUGGGCACUAAAAAUGGAGAGAGAAAAGGAGGUUUGAUGAGAGAGAAAAUGUUAAGAGGUUAGAAGUGAGAGAAACAUGAGUAUGUGUAUAUGAUGUGAUGUCGUUUGGGCUCCUAUGCAUGUAGAGAUAGGUGGAUAGGUAUGCAGCCAUUAAUUAUUAUAUAUGGGAAGGGAGCUUAAAAUUAGAAGAAUGAGAAGCGAUCUCGUGCGUUCGCUACAAUUAGAUGUAACCGCUCAUAAAUGUUUACCUACCACGUUUUAGUAAUGGCCUAAUCGUAAAUAUUUCCAAAAAAUUCGAUCCCAUUAUGAAACAAAAGAACAAGAAGUUUCUCUCUCCUGACUUCCAGUGCUCCCCAUUCUCUCUCCUCCAUUCUCCUCACCUGCUGCAACUACCGCGCCACCACCAUCCCCCACGCUGCCAUCAUCGUCUUCUCCUCUGCUGCAAUUCGUGGGAUUUAUUUUAUUUUAUUUUAUUUUCUCCUCUCUUGCGAUUCAACGAGCCAUCUUCAUCCCGCAAUUUUAGAGAUCUAUUGCCCAGUUGCUUUGAUUGACCUUCGAUUUUCCAGAUUUAAGAAGAUCUGCACCCACCCUUGCAUCAAAAUCUGGAUACACACCUAUCGCAUCUAUGCUGAUUGGAUUAAUGAGGAAUCCUUCGUGCCCUAUUUGGCUAGUAAGUAUCAACAAUGAAUUCUGGGUCGGGGAUUCUUACAUGGGUACUUGUUUUGGAGCUCGGCAACAGUGUAUAAAUAGAGUUCAGAAAUACAGUUAGUGAACUGCAUAAGUGUAAGGAUUACAUCAGCUUUUUUUUCAACAGGAGAUGGAUGCCUGUGGACUUGCAGCUACUGUAGUUUUUAGUUUCCCUUCAAGUUUUUGUUAGGAGUAUACCGCUUAGAUGGUGUACAUGCUUGUUCUGCUACUCUAUUAGACAUAGAAAGUACAUUGAAAGCUCAUACCAUUUUGAGAUCUUUCUGAUAGUAUUCCUGGUUCAAUCUAUUGUUCAUGGCCAGAGUAUUGCAAUAGUGCUCGUUAACCAA